UGAUGGACAGCUCUGCAGCACUAAAGUGCUUAUAGUGCAGGUAGUGUCUCGGGAUCUACUGCAUCGUGAGCACUUACAGUGCUGCCGGCUGUAGAGCGCCAG
rnacentral:pre_miRNA from 1 species